AUCUCACCAUUUUUUGGGUUCAAAUUCAACUUUUUCUGAUCACAGUCAUGCCAUUCUAGAUUUUUGUGAUUUGGAAGCAUUGUGGUAAAUUUUAGACCACCCUUUCAUUUUGAGUCAGUCUAAAUAGUUCUGAACUAAAUAUAUUUCCUAGAAAUAAUGUAUUCUUAAAUUCUAUUUUUUAAAAUCUGUUCUGUACCUUUUUCAUUUUAUUGAAGGAUUGAGGCCAUCUACAUUUAGCAUAAUAAUUGUUCUUUCAUAAUGUGUUACUUUGGUGACUCAUUGUGAUUUGAAGAUCACUCUGGGUUCUUGACUUUGAAAGUGGAGCAUAAACUUUUGUGAUUUCUAACAUAUUGGGAGACACUUAAAUAUCAUCUCAGUAAUAGACUUAAUCUGCUAAGGAUCUCUCAGUUAAAUAUGGAGAGGCUUAUCUUCAGUAGGUUGGCCAUUUGAUAUUGAAUAUUUUGAACACAGAACACCAUGAAGCAAGGAAAAGAACAAUGACUUUUCAUCCUAGUGGAAGAUGAAUCAAAUGGUGCUGAAAUCAUAUUAUUUUUAGAUUGUCUAUAAACUUUCCUUUAGUUAUUGGUACUCUAGUAACCAAUUAGUAUACUUAAAUACAGAGGAACUGAUUUGUAUCAGUUUGACAUUUUUUCUAUAAAUAAACCAAGAAAAAAGAUGGAAACUAAAUGGAAGGAUGGCUUAUAGGUUCUCCUUUUGAAAUAAUUGUAGAAUUUGAUGAAUUGGUUUUAUUAUAUAAACAAGAUUAAUGAGCCAUAUCAUUUUAUCACAUGUUUGGUCAUUUCAUAUUGCUGUGCUCAUGAUAAUUUUGUAAGAAUACUGAAGUGAAUAUAUAUAGCUAAAUUUAGGUGAUACUUUAAAGUUUGCGAGACACUUUAUAGAUACCUCAUUUUGUCCUUUUAACAACCCUGGGAGGUAGAUGCUAUUAUUAUCCUCAUUUUGCAAUGGAGGUAUCCAGGAUUUUCAGGACCCUUGUGAUACAAAUACUUAUAAAAAUCAAAGCUGUUUUUUUCCCAGUGCUAUACCUGUCCAAAUAAAUUACUUAGUUCUUUCAGAAGAAGUUGGGGAACAGUGACUGUGUUUCUUGACUACUGAUCUAAUGAAGAGAGUGGUACGGUGCAAAAAAUGCUGGAUAUGGAGUUGAAGGACCUAAAUUCAGUCCCAUCUCUGCUACUUACCACAUGUUAGUCCCUUCAGCUCUCUAGGCCUCCUUGUCUACAAAGUGCAGAGUUUGGGCUAGAUGUUUGCUAGUUUUUGGGGAAGAGAGUGUGGUAUGCCUAGAGGGAAUGGAUUCCUAAUGGCAACCAGAGAAUGUUAGCGUCAUCUGAAAGAGGAUAAUGCAAAGGGACAGUUUAGCUGAUGGCAGUAAGCUAUAGCCAUGGACAUCAGAUGGAUAACAAUAAAUAGAUCAAGAGUUCUUAACUUGGGGUUUAUAAACUUUAUUUUUGAGACAUUUUGAUAUCUAUUCCAGUAGAUUAUUUUUUUUACACUGAUAUGUAUUUUAUUUUACACAUUUGAAAACAUUAUUCCAAGAAUGGCUUGCAUAGGUUUCAUCAGACUGCAAAAGGGAUCCCAGAAAAGAGUCUAAAAUCUAGAGCUGGAAUCAGAAAUCAUCUGGAAUCUAUGAAGCAAUUUGUCACAAAAGGGAAGCUUGUAUGAGUGGAACCUUCAAAUUAGGGCUGCACGUGUUGCCCUUGGGAAUAUUUAGAAUGAGAUGUUGAGGGAAUUAGAGGUGUUAUGUAUACUUUUACUGGUUGCAGUCCAUCAUAGUCUUUGAUUCUUAUUUCUUCUUUUUAAUAAAACUUUCUUAUAUAGUCUAUUCCAUUAUGGCCCAAAUGCUCACAGGUGUGGAAUUAGAGCCAAUAUCUAUGUGUUAAAAAAUUAAAUUAGUCUCUACUGAUAAAAAUAUUAUAUUUUAUGAGGUUUAUUAAAGAUUAUUAGAAAUCAAGGAUACAAAAUAAUCAACCACAUGCUUAGGGCUGAUUAGCCCAUUCACAUUUUACUUACUACAUGUUUUAAUCACUGAGUAGAGGAAGAGAGAGGCGGAAGUAGACGGUACAGCCAGUUUAAAUACAAGUUGUGAUCUCGUCCAGGUGGGGUCUCAGGUGAGAUUAUAGGGAAUUCUGGAAGUACCAAGGACUUCUGGGGAUUGAAGUCUGGGGUUCAAAUCUCCAUUUUACACAUGGAUUAUCCAAUUAAGAGGUUUUUACCAAGAUUUCUGAGGGUACUUGGGCCAGUAGCGUUGUAAUACCCUUGCCAAAUGAUCAUGGCCCUUUAUGCAAUGGCGCCACUGACAAAAAUGGAUUACAGAAGAAAAAGAUACAAUUAUCGGGAAGAUGGAGCAGAAACAUAUUCCAUUCCUUUCCUUGGAGUGGGAAAGUGUGAAGAAACUGAGGCAAAAAGAGGUCAUGUGACUUUCCCCAUCUCACACAGGGUCAGAACCAGAGCUUGGACUGGAAACCAGACCCCCUCACGGACUGUUCAGAGUUCUUUCUAUGCACUGAGCUGCCGCCUUGCAAAGAAAUAUCCGCAGUGUCUUUUUUAUAGAUUCAAAGCUGGAAGGAAUUUAGGAAGUCAUUGAGUUCUACCUCAUCAUUUUACAUAUAAGGAUACUGAGGCCAGAGAAGUUAAAUGAUUUGCCAAGGGUCACAUAGCUAUUAAGGACCCGGAAUGGGAUUAGGACUCAGGUCUUUUGGACUCGGGUUUUUUGGACCCCAGUUUCAGUGCUCCAUGUACUACUGUACCAUGCUACCAUGUUCCGGUAGGCCUGCUUUAAGGUGUUUUGCAUCUCUGGGAUAGACCAAUAGAUAAAUUACUGGGAUAUAGAAUAGCUUCUAUCAUGCCCACCCACUAGUGAAAAUAAAUAAUGCUUUUCACCAUCAAGAUGAACUUUAUGAGUCAAUAGGAGUAAUGUCCGAUAGUCAGAAAGUUUCUUUUCCAUUUUCUUUUUCCCCUUAGUUUCCCUACGAAGGAAUAUCUUGGCCACACUAGCUUGCUUCCCCAAAGCAUUCUCAUCUUAAUUUUCUCCCCACCUCUUGGUGAACAUGCUGCUUUUUGCCCUUCAGAUGGGCCAGGCACAUCACUUUUUCCUUUCUCCCUUUCAAACUCCUUGGUGAACAAAUGCUUUAAAAAUCAGUUGUUUUACUCCAAAGAAAUUUUAAAGAAAAGGAAUAAGUUCCAUAUGUACAAAAAUGUUUGUAGCAGAAAUUUUGUAGUAGCCCCAAACUGAAAGCUAAGAGGGUGCUCACUGAUUGGGGAAUGGCUAAACAAAUGAUGGUAAAUGAAUAUGAUGGGAUAUUCUUAUUCCAAUAAAAAUGAUGGAGUGAAUUGUUUCAGAGGAAACCAGGGAGACCUCUAUGAUCAAAUGAAUGUGAAUGAAAUGAGAACUAGUAUAAUUUGUAUGACAAAGAUAUUCUAGAAAAAAAACAACUUUGAAAGACUUUACAAGUCUGAUGAACCACCAGUCCAUGUGAUUGAAGCCGAAGCCCUCUAGCCACCUCCUGCUAGAGGGGUGAUGAACUUAACCCACAGAAUGAAGCCUGCAUUUUUGGAUAGUCCCGGUGGGAGAAUUUAUUGUGCUGGACUAUGCAUGCUUGUUAUAAGGGUUAAAAAAAAAUGUCCAUGGAUACCCUCUGCAUCUCUUAUGUAGUCUCAACUUCAGAAUUGCUAUGGUCGGUAGAAUCCAGUAAAUAUUAACAAAUGUGCUUUAUUUCAAUGAGGAAGGAGGUAUGGAUUUAAUAUUCUCUUUUCUUCUAUUAAAACAUUAUUUCCCAUAUAUUUUGACUAUAUUAAAGUGACUCUGUUGGCGUUCUGAAGGUGAUGUCAACAUUACUAUAAUAAACUUUGUCAGUUUUAGAUAAUUUGGCUAAAAACUGCUUUAAGUCUCUAUACUUGAGUCAUUUGGUGAGAAGGGGAAGACAUUCUUUCUGAAUUUGAGUAAAUGUUAAAGUAACUCACAAUGUGAUCGACAAGGAAAUUCAGUUACUGCUUUUGAUUGACCUGAAAUGAUCACGAUCUAAACAUUGAGACAACAUUCUUUAUUCAGUGAAGGCCACUUAAAAAGUGUAUAUCUUUAAAGCCAAGGACCAUAUUUCAUCUCUACAGUUAAAGAUAUUUCAAUAUAUCUGUCUUUGGGGAAAGCUCUUUAUGAAACAUUAUUUGUAUCUGAGAGGAGGCAUUAAAUAAAUUUAGUCAAGGCUAUAUAGUGGAAAGGAAGCAGCUAGGUGGUUCAGUGGAUAGAGCACUGGGUCUAAAUUCAAGAAGACCCAAAUUCAAAAUUGGCUUCCGACACUUAUUAGCUGUGUGAUCCCGGGCAAAAACCUUAACCUCUAUUUGCCUUAAUCAACUGGAGAAGAAACUGGCAAACUACUCCAUCAUCUUCGUCAAGAAAACUCCAGGGACUUACGAAAAAGACUGCUAUCCACCUCUAGAGAAAGAACUGUUGGAGUAUAAAUGCAGAUGAAAACACAUGAUUUUUCACUUGUUUAUUUGGGUGUAUGAUUUGGGGUUUUGGUUUUCAUAACAUUAUUCACUUACAAAAAUGAAUGAUAUGGAAAUGUGUUUGUGUAAUAGCACACAUAUAACCCAGAUUGAAUUGCUUGUCAGCUCUGGAAGGGAGAGGGAAGAAGGGAGGGCGACAACAGGAAUCAUAUAACAUUGGAAAACUUAUGUAGGAAUUUUUUAUUAAAAUAAAGACAAAAAAUAAGAAAAUCCCAGGGACAGCAUGAGAGUGCUACGAUCAUUUAUGGGGUCACAAAGAGUCGGGCACACCUGAACAACAGUAUAGUGGAUGAGCAUGAGAACUCAACCCUUUGGCUUGUUCUAUGACACCAAAGAAUAAAGAUCAUCAUUUCCUUUAAUACAGGUCUUCAUGGUGAUAAAUAAUCACCAUAAAAAAAGAGCGAAAUAACCUUCAUGGGCAUCAUUUCAUUUGAUCUCAAAUCAAUCUUGCAAGGUAGGUAUUAUAUAUUUAUAAAGAGACUAAAUAAGGAGAUAGAAAGGGAAAAUGAUUUAUCCAAAUAAAUUGGAAAGCUAAAAGCGCCUUGGGUGCAGGGACAAUCUUUUAUUUCUUGUAUAUACUACUCAUAUUCCCAGUACUUAGCACAGUGUCUGGCACAUAGUAGGUGCUUAAAAUAUGUUUAUUGACUGUCUGGUAUGAAUCAAUUUCUCUUUCCUUUAAGGGUACCUCUUUCUACUAUGAUAUUUGGCUGCAGGAGUUAAUGGUGGAGACACCAGAUUGACAGAAAAAUAUUCUUAGAAGACUGGCCUCAUCAACUUUCUUCUUUUUGAUGCCUUUUGUCCAUUUGGUUUCAGUUUUGGCAAUUGCCUUUUUAAUGAUUACAAGCAACAGGCUAUAUAAUUGCACAAUGGAUUCAGCUUGUAAAUUUUCUGUAUUAAUUUAAGAUUCUUGAAUAAUUGGUAAGUGAGCACACAGACUUUUGUUAGUUACUGUUCAUUUUUUUUAAGCUACCACUGUGUGACAUUGAUUUUUAUCUGUCCUUUUGCUUGAACUCUCUUUUUAAUUCACUUUUCCACUGAUAAUAUGGGUGGGAGAUCUGGGGUCUGUUGGUUUUGCACUUCAGAAUGCAGAAUUCCUGUAAUCUUAAAUCUCCGCCCAGGGUGCUGCUUCCCAGACAUCAGAGGGACCACUGGGACUAGAGUGAGACAGGAACAUUCGGAGAAAUUCUGAGCCAAACACAUAUUUUUUUUUUAUUCAAAUGCAUUUUUUUGGCAACAUUACUUGGGAGACCCUGAGCUUUGCACAGGUUUAGUCAGAAGGAGAGAUGUAUCAAAUCACUUGGAAAAAUAAAUGAGAUGAGUUUGUAGUAGAGAUUUAAAACCUGGGGCUCCAAGGUAACCUUUGGGAAGGCUCAUUCCACUAGACCAACGCUCCCAACAAAUGUGUCCAAAAGGAUGAGUACUCCUUUUUUGUGACUCCUCUUUUCUUCAGCUUCCAAACCUCAUGUGGCCUUCCUGGCUUCUGAAUGAACUGCAAUACUGUAAUCAAAUGGCAGUUCCAAUAGCAAACAUUUAUUGAAUUCAUACUGUGAGCCUGGAAAAGGAAUUAUAGUUAUACAGGGCUUGCUCUCAGGGAGCUUAAAAAAAUAUUGCCAUUAUUUGAUAUUCCUACCUAGGGACCUUAGUUACUGUGAUAUACCUACCUAGGGACCUUAGUUACUUUUGCUGUUUACCUGCACAAAAGAAUAGGAGAGAAAGACACACAGAGAGAGACAGAGACAGAUGUAGAGACAGAAGGAGACCAAGAGAUAGAGAUAGAGAAAUAGAUAUGAAGGCAGAGAAAGAAACAGAGACAAAGAUAGAGAAAGAGGUAGAGAUAGAGUCAAAAAGAAUCUAAAAGAAAGAGACAAAUACAGAUAAAGGAAGGGAAAGAGGUAGAGACAGAGGCAGAGACAAACAAAAAGAGCAAGAGAAAAAGACAGCAGUAGAGAUAAGAGGCAAAGAAAGAGAUAGAGAUAGAAGCAGAAACAGAGAUGAAUAGAGAUAAAGACAGAGAUAGAAACAGAACAAGAGAGACAGAGGCAGAGACAGGGAGAAAGAGACAGGGAAAUAGAUAUAGAGGGAAGAAGAGAAAUAGACAAAGAGAGACAGGGAGAUAGAGGCAGAGAUAGAGAGACAGAGAGAGGAAUAGUGAUAGAGACAAAGACAGAAAUAGAGAAAGACAUGGACAGAGAGAUAGAGGUAGAGACUGAGAGAAAGAGGGAAAUAGAGACAGAAGGAAGCAGAGAAACAGAGACAGAGAGAGAGAGAAGGAAGCAGAGAAAUAGAGACAAAGAGAGACAGAAGGAAGCAGAGAAACAGAGACAAAGAGAGACAGAUAGAGGCAGAGAUAGAGAGACAGAGAGAAAUAGUGAUAGAGACAGAGACAGAAACAGACAAAGACAUGGACAGAGAGAUAGAGGUAGAGACAGAGAGAAAGAGACAGGGAAAUAGAAGCAGAGAAAGAAACAAAGAAAGAGACAGAGAGAGACAGAGACAGAGAGAAAGAGACAGGGAAAUAGAAGCAGAGAAAGAGACAAAGAGACAGAGAAAGGUAGAGAGAGAGAAAGAGACAGGGAAAUUGAGAUAGAGGGAAGUAGAGAAAGAGACAAAGAGAGGCAGAGACAGAGGCAGAGAUAGAGAGACAGAGAGAAAUAGACACAGAAAGAUAGAGGCAGAGAAACAGAAAAAUAGAGACAGAGAAAAAUAUCUCAUUUAAAGUCUUAUGAGUUCAGUACAGAAUGCAGGUUGGGGUGUUUCAAAUGCCACUAUUUUGUGUAAAUAUGAACAAAUGACUCUCCAGACCUCAGUUUCUUUCUUAAAAAUACCUGCACUGACAUCCUUCAGACAGUUUUUAUAAAUAUAAAAACAGUAUAAAAAAGGGGAAAUGUUAUUCAUCUUGGUAAUGAUUAUUCUGAUUGUUGAGUCCUAUAGAGCCGAUGGGGCUUAUCUUGUCUCCAAAUAUCUUUUCCAGAUGGGUGCUUUGAAUGUGGUCUGUGAAGCUUGGAAUAUAGCAUUUUAAUGUCUGAAAUAUGACUAGAGUUGUUUUAGGAAUUUUUUGCCUCAAAGAAUCUCCUCCAAAACAUACUUAAUAUUUUUUUUUCACUUAUUUAGUUGUUGUUGUUGUUCUUUUUUUUUUUUUUUUAAUAAAAAAAGUA